rnacentral:rRNA from 1 species
GAUGAACGCUGGCGGCGUGCCUAAUACAUGCAAGUCGAGCGAACAGAUGAGGAGCUUGCUCCUCUGACGUUAGCGGCGGACGGGUGAGUAACACGUGGAUAACCUACCUAUAAGUCUGGGAUAACUUCGGGAAACCGGAGCUAAUACCGGAUAAUAUAUUGAACCGCAUGGUUCAAUAGUGAAAGACGGCUUUGCUGUCACUUCUAGAUGGAUCCGCGCCGCAUUAGAUGGUUGGUAAGGUAACGGCUUAUCAAGGCAACGAUGCGUAGCCGACCUGAGGGGGGGAUCGGCCACCCUGGAGCGGGGACGCGGUCCAGACUCCUGCGGGAGGGAGCAGUAGGGAAUCGUCCGCAGUGGGCGGAAGCCUGACGGAGCAACGCCGCGUGAGUGAUGAAGAUCUUCGGAUCGUAAAACUCUGUUAUUAGGGAAGAACAAAUGUGUAAGUAACUAUGCACGUCUUGACGGUACCUAAUCAGAAAGCCACGGCUAACUACGUG